GAUGAACGCUGGCGGCGUGCCUAAUACAUGCAAGUCGAGCGAACAGACGAGGAGCUUGCUCCUCUGACGUUAGCGGCGGACGGGUGAGUAACACGUGGAUAACCUACCUAUAAGACUGGGAUAACUUCGGGAAACCGGAGCUAAUACCGGAUAAUAUAUUGAACCGCAUGGUUCAAUAGUGAAAGACGGUUUUGCUGUCACUUAUAGAUGGAUCCGCGCCGCAUUAGCUAGUUGGUAAGGUAACGGCUUACCAAGGCGACGAUGCGUAGCCGACCUGAGAGGGUGAUCGGCCACACGGGAACUGAGACACGGUCCAGACACCUACGGGAGGCAGCAGUAGGGAAUCUUCCGCAAUGGGCGAAAGCCUGACGGAGCAACGCCGCGUGAGUGAUGAAGGUCUUCGGAUCGUAAAACUCUGUUAUUAGGGAAGAACAAAUGUGUAAGUAACUAUGCACGUCUUGACGGUACCUAAUCAGAAAGCCACGGCUAACUACGUG
rnacentral:rRNA from 1 species